rnacentral:rRNA from 1 species
UGAACGCUGGCGGCAGGCCUAACACAUGCAAGUCGAGCGGAUGACAGGAGCUUGCUCCUGGAUUCAGCGGCGGACGGGUGAGUAAUGCCUAGGAAUCUGCCUGGUAGUGGGGGACAACGUUUCGAAAGGAACGCUAAUACCGCAUACGUCCUACGGGAGAAAGCAGGGGACCUUCGGGCCUUGCGCUAUCAGAUGAGCCUAGGUCGGAUUAGCUUGUUGGUGAGGUAAUGGCUCACCAAGGCGACGAUCCGUAACUGGUCUGAGAGGAUGAUCAGUCACACUGGAACUGAGACACGGUCCAGACUCCUACGGGAGGCAGCAGUGGGGAAUAUUGGACAAUGGGCGAAAGCCUGAUCCAGCCAUGCCGCGUGUGUGAAGAAGGUCUUCGGAUUGUAAAGCACUUUAAGUGGGAGGAAGGGUUGUAGAUUAAUACUCUGCAAUUUUGACGUUACCGACAGAAUAAGCACCGGCUAACUCUGUGCCAGC